rnacentral:rRNA from 1 species
UGCUCUACAUUUCCUGGUUGAUCCUGCCGGACCUGACUGCUAUCGGAUUGGUACUAAGCCAUGCGAGUCGUUGUAGCAAUACAAGGCGGACUGCUCAGUAACACGUAGUUAACUUAACCUAUGGAUGGGCAUAACCUCGGGAAACUGAGAAUAAUACCCAAUGGACCACAGUGCCUGGAAUGGCCUGUGGUUGAAAUGAUUUAUCGCCGUAGGAUAGGACUGCGGCCUAUCAGCUUGUUGGUGAGGUAAUGGCCCACCAAGGCUAUAACAGGUACGGGCUCUGAGAGGAGGGGCCCGGAGAUGGGUACUGAGACACGGACCCAGGCCCUAUGGGGCGCAGCAGGCGAGAAACCUUUGCAAUGUGCGAAAGCACGACAAGGUUAAUCCGAGUGUCUCCUGCUAAAGGAGUCUUUUGUCAGUUGUAGAAUCACUGGUGAAUAAGGGGUGGGCAAGUUCUGGUGUCAGCCGCCGCGGUAAAACCAGCACCUCGAGUGGUCAGGAGGUUUAUUGGGCCUAAAGCAUCCGUAGCCGGUUGCAUAAGUUUUCGGUUAAAUCUAUGCGCUUAACGUAUAGGCCGCCGAAAAUACUGUGCAGCUAGGGAGUGGGAGAGGUACACGGUACUCGAUAGGAAGGGGUAAAACCUUUGAUCUUUGAAGACACUGUGGGAAGCGUGUCCGACCGUCGAGGGAGGAUGAAGC